GACGAACGCUGGCGGCGUGCUUAACACAUGCAAGUCGAACGGAAAGGCCCUGCUUUUGUGGGGUGCUCGAGUGGCGAACGGGUGAGUAACACGUGCGUAACCUGUCCUUGACUUUGGGAUAACUUCAGGAAGCUGGGGCUAAUACCGGAUAGGAGCUCCUGCUGCAUGGUGGGGGUUGGAAAGUUUCGGCGGUUGGGGCUGGACUCGCGGCUUAUCAGCUUGUUGGUGGGGUAGUGGCUUACCCAGGCUUUGACGGGUAGCCCGCCUGAGAGGGGAACCGGCCACAUGGGGACUGAGAUACGGCCCAGACGCCUACGGGAGGCAGCAGUGGGGAAUAUUGCACAAUGGGCGGAAGCCUGAUGCAGCAACGCCGCGUGCGGGAUGACGGCCUUCGGGUUGUAAACCGCUUUCGCCUGUGACGAAGCGUGAGUGACGGUAAUGGGUAAAGAAGCACCGGCUAACUACGUG
rnacentral:rRNA from 1 species